rnacentral:lncRNA from 1 species
UAAUUUUUGCAAUUUUCAAUUGAAUGGUAAAAAUAAAAGGGUAAAUUGGUUAAAACCAAUUAAGGGUAAAAUGAGAAUUUUUAAAUUUUUGUAGGGGUAUAGGGUUAAUUGUAGGGGUACAAGGUAAAAUUUUCUAACUGGAUAUUUCAUCCAAAUUUAAUUUCUAUAACUUUUCUAUAACAAAAAUCAAUAAAAAUAUAAUUGAAUUAAUAGUAAUGCAUGAUUUUUCUUUCCAAAGAAUAUCAGAUUGUCCAUUUAAAUCGUAAGAAGUUAGAAACAAAGACAUUACUUUUCUCCCUCUCGAAGAAAACGCUUCCCUAUGUAUUCUUCAAAUACAAACUUCUUUAACCAUAAUAACUCAUUCAUUCUAAAGGAGUAUUAUAUGCCUCUAAAUUUCCUAUUCCACCAAAAUGCUUAACUUCAUACAGGAACAAAAAUUAUUAAUUAAAUAACAAUUAAACUCUUCAAGGCACUGUGAACGAAAUGCUUAUCUCCACUAUAAUCAUCUGGUUAAUAACAGUAAUACCAUUUAACAAGGAAUAAAAAAAAUGAACUAAACAAUGGCAACCAAAGAAAACGUUUACAGUAAGGUUUUUUUUUUUAAAACAUUUGAAAUAAAUCACAAUCUCAUAAUCCAGCUUUGGCACCAAAAAAAAGAACAAAUGACGGUAGCCGCAACACCGUGUAAAAAUUCCUGGAGUUAUUUAUGAUACAUGAGCCCGUUGAAACCAAAAUGAAACCAAUCAAACAACAAAUACAAUAAAUCUAAAACGUUACCAUAUUUACAAUGCUCUUGCUGGUAGAUUUUUGGGUUCCGAAACCGUAUCAACCGUCUUCUCAAUACCCAAUAACGACCAUGACAGUUCUCGUGGCGUAGUCGUAAUGGUUCAGUCGGAAGAUCCGUGACAGGUUGAAGCGAUAUGAAGAUGAAAAGGGUUUAGUUGUGCGGUGGUCGACGGCGUGGGUUACUUCGGUGGCGGAGUUCGAUCCACGGUGGAAGGAAAAAGAAGAGUGAGGUUGUUUAGAUCGCAGUCAGCUUGGUAGAUGGCGUUGAAGGGAAUUCGCGGCGGCCAUGGCGGUUAGCCGGAAGUUGUUGAAGGAUGUUAAGGGCGGAGAAUUCGAGACGUACGGUGGAGUGUGUAUGUUAUGGUGGUGUUUGUUGGAAGGUUUGAGUUUAUGAAGAAGAAGAGGAUUUGAAGGAAUUGAGUGGGUAAGGGUGUGACGGCAGUGCGUUUUUUCAAGGGGAAGAAGAAGGUGGAUUUCAGUGUUUUGUGUGUGUGACGUUUGGGAGCAGAAGAAGUAUUCCUCCCUUUUUGUUUUUUUCUGUCCCAUGAGUCCCCUUUUUCUUGAGACAGAGUGGUGAUCCCCACGUGAAGAAGAAAUCUCUUUGUUUCCCCUUUUUCCCCGUUAGCCAGCUGUUCCUCCAUUAAUAAAAUCCCAUUUUUGUUCUUAUCCCAUCUCUCCCAAUAACAUGAUGCCACGUUUCAUGUUGAGAGUAUGGAUAAAAAAUCUUCUCAAAUGCAAGCUGUCAAACGUGUAUCUUUCACAAGUAUACAACUUUAUUUUUAAUUUUUAAUUUUUAAUGUUAAUAUUAAUAUUAUUUGAUUUUUCAUGAUUAAUAUUAUUAUUAAUUGAUUUUUGAUUGGAUAAUGGAAUAUGAUAACGAUUGCAAAUGAGAUCCGUGGAUUAAUUUGUAUCAACGAUCCUGAUUAAUCCAAAGAAGCACAAGCAAUUUUAAAAUGUCCGAUAUGUCCCUUUUAUAUGAUUUUAAUUGAUUUAAAAUAAUUUAAAUCAUCAAAUCAAAUUAAAUUCGCAUCUUUCUAAAUACAUACGAUAAAAAUAAAAUGAGAAUACGAAAAAUUCUAUUUAUUUCUUUUGAACAUUUUGGCGAAAGAAUAAAAAUAAAAUGACUAAAAAUUAAUAAAAGUCGGACGAAAAUUUGUUUAAAAAAUUAAAUCGGACGCACUAAAAUGAUCAGCGCGAAAUAUACUUAUUGAAAAAAUACAUCAUUUCUUUUAAUUUUGAAAUAAAUUUUGACCGAUUGAAAGGCUUAGACGGAUCAAAAUGCGAUUGAAAAAGUCGUCGAAAAAUAUAACGAGCACACCAUGUUAAACUACGCAGACCAUAGAUUAAUAAUACUGGCGUAUGCAAGUUUAAUUUUGAAACUUUUUACACGCUGAUUUUGCACGUACUUGAGAAAUGAUUUAACCAAUUUGUCUAUAUUUUCAAUAAUUUAUUUCGACCGAUAUUUUAAGUAUUAUUCAUGAUGAAAUGCAUGUUAUGCUGUACAACUGAUGCAAAUUAAAAAUGAAAUCAAGUUUAUGAAAAAUUUAAAAUGUCUGGACAAAAUUGGGGUAUGACAGCUGCCCCUAUUUAGUUACCUUGAUCCGGAAAGUAAGAAUUACAGCAGUGUCCGUAAAUUCGUGGUGGAAGGUAAUUAAAUACGAAAAGACCCAAAUUUUGUCCUUUGAAAUGUGAUGGAGAAAUGUAGAAAGAAAAUGUAACGAAUCCUAACGACAUCCAGGGUAUUAGGGGUAGAAUAUCCGAUCAAUGCCAACCCUCGAGUCGACAUUUAAAUCUUGCAAAGGUCGUUAUUGAUAUGAGGACAAACCUGAGCAGGUUUUCUGGCACCAAAAGGAUGACAAUAGAAUUAAUUGCCAUCACCAAAAGGGUGAUAGUAAUUCACCAUGAUUUCCGGGAUCGUCAUCACCAAAAGGAUGAUGGAAUACCAAGCUUCAAAGGUAGUCAUCACCAAAAGGAUGAUGGUUAUCCUGAUAAAGCUUUCCAUUACCGAGGGGGUAAUAUUAAGACUAUCAUCAAAAGGACGAUAGUUAACUCAUCAACUUCAAAGAUCACCGUCACCAAAAGGAUGAAAGUAAGUUCAACGACAAAACUUAUUAUCACCAAAAGGAUGAUGCUAAGUCACGGCAACUUCAUUGGAUCACCAUCACCAAAAGGAUGAAGGUAACAUUAACAACAAAACUUGUUAUCACCAAAAGGAUGAUAAAAAGUCAACAAUCACCAUCACCAAAAGGAUGAAGGUACUACCAAACAACAGAACUUGUUACCACCAAAAGGAUGAUAAUAAGUCAACAAUAUUAAUGAUCACCAGUAUCCAAAGGAUGAAGGUAAGAUCAACAACGAAACUUGUUAUCACCAAAAGGAUGAUAAUAAGUCACAAACUUCAAAUGAUCACCAUCACCAAAAGGGUGAAGGUAAGAUCAAAUAACAGAACUUGUUACCACCAAAAGGAUGAUAACAAGUCAUCAACCACCAUCACCAAAAGGAUGAAGGUAAAAACAAACAACAAAGCUUGUUACCCUCAAAAGGAUGAUAAUAAGUCAACAACUCAAAUAAUCACCAUCACCAAAAGGAUGAAGGUAAGAUUAAUAACAAGACUUGUUACCACCAAAAGGAUGAUAAUGAGUCACAAUCACCAUCACCAAAAGGAUGAAGGUAUUAUUGAACAACAAAACUCGUUAUCACCAAAAUGAUGAUAAUAAGUUACAACAACUUAAAUGAUCACCAUCACCGAAAGGAUGAAGGUAAGAUCAGAACAAAACUUGUUACCACCAAAAGGAUGAUAGUAAGUCGAGACAAACUUUAAUGAUCGCCAUCACCAAAAGGAUGAAGGUAAGAUCAAAUGACAAAACUUAUUACCACCAAAAGGAUGAUAAUAAGUCAAAAACUUCACAUGAUCACCAUCACCAAAAGGAUGAAGGUAUGAUCAACAACAAAACUUGUUACCUCCAAAAGGAUGAUAAUAAGUCACAAACUUCAAAUGAUCACCAUCACCAAAAGGAUGAAGGUAUGAUCAACAACAAAACUUAUUACCACCAAAAGGAUGACAAUAAUCUUUAAUAAUGAGAGGUCUCCAUUCACCAAAAGGAUGAAGGUUGGACCCAAAACUUCAAGGAUCUUCGACACCAAAAGGAUGACGGUAAGAUCACAAAUGUCAAGGGUUUACCAUUACCAAAAGGAUAACGGUUAUCAUAAACAAGGAGAUGAUUAAUAUUAUUCCUCAAUGAACUUUCACCAAAAGAAUGAUAGUGAGAAAAAUAUUUGGAAUAAUAAAGCUACUGACAAAGUUCAAUAAACCCGACUUGUUGGGUAGUAUUAGAACGUUACUGGGUAAGACUUGCUUGGGGUAUCGACAAUAAAAGGUUGCAGAAAAAUAUUCUCUGGAAAACAUAAUUUCCAUCAACAAAAGGUUAAAAGAAACAUCUCAUCGAGGAACGCUCAAUGAGAAACAAGGUAGGGGUUUGAAGAAAAAUUGUUCGACUUAGAUGAGGGUAACACCUUAUUAACAAAAGGUUAGAGGAUGUAAAUCAACGGGGAACACCCAACAAUACAAGGUAAGAACUCACUCAGAGAAAAUAAUAAAUGACUCAACUGAGGGUUGGCCUGGACACCUACGACUAAACCUUGGAUCUUGAUUCGUGCUAUAUGCAUGAAUGUUAUGUAUGCGUUAUGUAUGAGAUGAUGUAUGCAGUGCAUGUUUGAAUGUAAAGGAUGAUUGGUUUGUUUAGAAUUGGUCCCCCCUUUUCAAAGGAGAUGUAUUUUCUGGAAACAAAUACUGGUUGUAUUUGUUUUUGUGUGGGUUCCAACAAGGUGGACUUUGGGUUUUUUGGUAAUUGCCAAUAUGAGUUUGAUUGUUGGUGGGUGAAAGGAUCUGACUUCCCGACACUUGGUAGUUUAUGAUCUGAUGAACACGCAAUGGAUGUGGAUACGCUCGAUGCCCUAAGUUUGAUUUCUUGCUGUUAUGUUGUGUCUUUGCCCCUGAGGGGAACUCGACUUCUUCUUCUGAGAUGUUGGGUCAGCUUGUAACCGAGCAUAGUGACAUGAUCAACGCAUGAUGAUUAUGCUUUUGACGUGCCGCAAGGUUUCUUGUCAAGAUGUGAUAUUGUACCGGUAUGAAGUUUUGACAUUUUGGUUGUGAUCUUAGACAGUUUCUAGUGUCUGACACAAUCUGCCUGACCGACUUGAAGAUAUGAAGUGAAUUUUCCCCUUGCAACUUGUCUUGCCCAGUCUGUAGGGUGUUCAAAGGAAUUAUCCUUGAAAGGAAACCCUUAGGAGUGAUUAUCCCAUGACAUGGUCUGAGUCUGUUUCCUCCAACGUUUGUCUCUUGUGGUGGGAUAAACACAGAAAUGGAUAACAAAUGGUUUUGAACUCGGCAUUCAUGUCGUGUGAUUUUCUCUCUUCUUCUUUUUUUCUCGUGCAUAACUCAUAGCUUUGGGGGUUUAUCCACUUUUGGCUCUUUUCAACUCAAUUCUUUGUGAGCAUUUUAAAGGUGUUAGAGUCUUAAGUCUCGGCAAGUGCAUUUUCUUUUUUUUUUUUUCUUUUUGGACAUACACAUGUCUCUACUUUUUGUAUUGCUUUUAGAUCUCUUAUUAUGCACUUGCCCUUUCUUUCAAGAUUACCACCCCAAACUUAGCUUUUUGCACAUCUUGUAACUCACAACAAUCAUGCCGAGUGAUGGGAUGAAAUGAACGAUUAAUGGUCAACAUGGGGUUUAUUACGAACAAAAUGGCUAAGGCUCAACGGGGUUCACGAAGGGUAAACAUAUAAACAUGGAUGGCUAGAAAGGCUCUGGAUUAAACAAACAACUUGCCUCAGUGCGUGUUGUCAUGCUGUGAAGUGUCAAAAGAACAUACGCAAAAUCAGAGUGAUAGAGUCAUACCUGGCUGAACUCUCAUGAUAUUUAGUGUUUGGCCUUUUUAUUCUCACCAUGUUGGUUAAACUUACAAGCUCUGAAGCCUCCUAGUGUCAUGUGGUUUCUUUUCUGAUUCGGUUCUACCAUACCGCUCUCUUGGUCCAGUGUCACCAAAUUGUGUCCGACUUUUACUUUCUCAUGGUUGCAUCAACUUCCGGGGUACCUUAAUAGAACAAGUAUGAGGGGUGUCUUUCAUCCACUACAACCGAUCCCGGAUUCGUCCACAAUUUCUCAUCACUCUGUACACACCGAUAAACAAUAAAAACAAACGUUGAAGGAAAACAUGAACAAAAUGAAAACGAAAUAAAACAUGAAAGGAAAACCCCUCCCCCCCCCCACACCUGAACUAAACAUUGACCUCAAUGUUUAAAUCCAGAUACAAAGGGGACUCACAGCGACUACUGUUGUUUUACUGCACUUGUGUGGUUUCCUUCCAUUUUGAGGUGUUUGUGACUUUAUUAAAUCCAGAUACAAAGGGGACUCACAGCGACUACUGUUGUUUUACUGCACUUGUGUGGUUUCCUUCCAUUUUGAGGUGUUUGUGACUUUGCCCUUCUAAUUCUCCUCCUCCCCUACAACAAAAUUCUAGCACACAAAAAGAAAAAGAAAAACGAAAUAAAUUAGAAAUCAAACGCGUGGGUUGCCUCCCACGAAGCGCUUCCUUUAACGUCGCAUGGCUCGACGGUUCAUUUCCCUUAUCAUGGGGGGUAUUUCAGGUUCAAAACCUUGUUGCACCUCUUGUCUCUAACUCGGACGUUGUCUCUUUUAUCAGUGUUGACUCCUUUGCACCACGUUCCUUUUUAACCUUCCUUUCGAUGUUAGGAAUCUUCCCGUUUAGGGUGGCUACUGGCAGUGGUGAGACUUUGAUAGUAUUCAAUGUCCUGAUUAAGCCUACUUGAUACUGAGAUUUUGUAUCUUCCUCCAUAUCCUGGUCUUCAAUAGCUUUCAAUGUUAUUUCCUUGUUGUGAACUUUCAAGGUUAACGUGCACUCAUCCAUGUCGAGCUCGCAUCGACUCGUCUUCAUGAAAGGUCUACCCAGAAUGAUGGGUGCCUCAUUGUCUUCAGGUAUGUCUAGGAUUACAAAAUCGACUGGGAAAGUCAAGUCCGCUAUUGUUACCAACACAUCUUCAACCAUACCAUACGCAUCUUUUCUUGAGUGAUCCGCAAACUUCAGAUUGGUCUUUAUAUCACUGAUAUUUCUAAUACCCAGCCUGUGAUAGAUCGAUAAUGGCAUCAGAUUCAUACUAGCUCCAUAACCUAUUAGUACCUUUUUGAAGGUUCUUUCUUUGAUUGUGCAUGGUACUGUGACGGUUCCUGGAUCCUUUUAUUUGUUAGGAAUGUUCUGCUCCAGGGAGUUUGCAUUAUAUUGUUCCUUACCGGAUACCUGUUCUUCAGUGGUUGGUUUCUUUUCAGCCAUUACCUCUUCCACGAAUUUCUUGUACAUGGGCAUCCUUUCAAGUGGUUCAAACAAAGCCAUAUGACCCUCAAUCCUUUUAAACAUUGUCAUGAAUUUCUCCAAGUCUGACUCACUAGGUUCCUUCUUUGUCAUUCUCUGAGGGUAGGCAACUUAAUCACCGGUUUAGUUCCUUUUGUAGUUUCUUCUUGAGUCGGCUCUCUCGGUGAUGUAAUUUUUUCUUUUUAGCAGCCUUUUUCUCUGUCGUCGUGACAGUAUUAAACAUCUCUGACCUCUCGGAUUUUGAACUGUUUCACUUGGUAGGGAACCUGGUGUUCGAGAACUUGCCAGUUGCUGGGCUAUCUGCCCCAGCUGAACUUCGAGAUUCUUUAGGGAUGCGGCGAUGUUUUUCUGAUUGUUUCUAGUCUCUUCUUCAAAUUGCCCAUUUUGAGCUGCCGUCUUUUCAAUUGCAAUCUCCCAAUCUGCCUUCUUUGGGACUUGAUUUUGCUGUUGCUGAUAUUGGUUUUGAUAUUGGCCUUGUACUUGCUGUUGCACAUUCCCUUUCUGAUCCCUCCAUGCAAAGUUUGGAUGAUUCUUCCACCCCGGGUUGUAUGUGUUGGAGUAGGGAUUGUUUUGCUUUAAAAACUUGAUAUCUUCUAUCUGUUGCGGUGUUGCAAAGCAAUGAACAGUAUUGUGUGGUCCAUUACAAAUGCCACACACAUCGUUAGGUGCCUGUUGUACUUGAGCCACUUUCUGCGCACCUAUGUUUAGUGCCUUCAACCUUUUCUCCACCUCUGCAACAACUGCUUCUUCAAUUUUUACCUGUUUGUUUAUUUUAAGCUUCAAAUCAAUUACUGCAGAUUUGCUUGACACCCUAUCAUACAACUCCAGAUGCUCAUUUGAGGAAAUUGCUUCAAUUAUCUUCUUCAUACCGGUGGCUGUUGCAAAGUUAGCUGAGCCACCAGCUGUUGAGUCAAGGAUUUGUCUCGUUUGAAUUCGAAGACCAUUAACAAACAUUUGCAUCUGCUCAGUUUCAUCCAUGUUGUGAGUAGGACAAGCCACUAGGAUUCUCUUGAAUCUUUUAUAGGCAUCUCCUAUCGUUUGAAUUCGAAGACCAUUAACAAACAUUUGCAUCUGCUCAGUUUCAUCCAUGUUGUGAGUAGGACAAGCCACUAGGAUUCUCUUGAAUCUUUUAUAGGCAUCUCCUAGUGACUCACCCUCCUUUUGCUUGAAGUUUAGGAUCUCCUAUCUUUUUCUCAGUGACAUAGAUGCGGGAAAAUAUUCCUGCAAGAAUGUUGUUUCCAUCUGCUCCCAUGUAGUGAUACUGCCAGCCGGUAAGGAAUAGAAUCACUCUUCGGCUUCAUCUGCUAAAGUGAAUGGGAACAUACGAAGCCUUAUUGCUUCUUCGUUAUGUCCAGGCAUUUUCAGCGUUGUGCUCAUAGUUAAAAAUCUUUGCGGAUGCUUGUUGGCAUCUUCAUUCACUCUUCCAGAAAAGGACCGCCUUUCGAGUUGAUUAAUUAUGCUGGGAUGCAAUUGAAAUUGUUUUACAUUAACCGGGUGGUUUACAAUUGUCAUCCGACCACCCGGAGUGUUGGUUCCACCAUUGUCACCGAGAAGUCUCUCGGGUGGUGGUGGUGGUGGUGGGUUUGCAGCCAUGAUUUCAGGAACUAUUUCCGCGUCUGAAUCUGAAUUCUCUGAGUGCACUGAAACAACUUCCUCCUCUGCUUUCUUUGCUAAUUCCAGUUUUUCUCUCUUAGCUUGUCUUAGUCUAGCACGAAGAGUUCUUUCUGGAUCUGCGUCAAAAGAAAAAUCCGCUGAGGCCUUACCUCGCAUAAACAAGUUAGACAAAUAUUAGAAUUGAAUAACAAGAUUGUCACAGAUAAAAUUUUGGUUGACGAGCAGAUAUAAAUUCACAAAACCAACCAAACCCUUGUCUUUUUGUUCAAAUAGAAUCAGAAGUAAAAUAAGUAUUUCCCCCGCAAUCCCUGAGAUCGAUACUUGGAAAUAAAAUCCUAUUACAUCAAUCGCGUAAAAAAGUACACUUGCUAAUUCCGAUCAAGUUUUUGGCGCCGUGUCGGGUAAUGCCAAAUAAAACCUAUUUUAAUUUUUAAUUCUUAUUAUGAAAUUUUACAAAAAAAGUUGCUCAGCAAACCAAAAAAUAUUUAUAUGCCUGUAGUGACACACAUCUUAUCAAUCUAAUAUUGAUACGCCAAAAUUAAACAAUUGUUUAUGCGAGACAGUAAGCCUCAAGCGGAUUUUCUUUUAUGACGACAAUCCACGAAAGAACUACUUCGUGCUAGCACUAGAGACAAGCAAACGGAGAAGAAAAACAAUGGAAUAGCAAAGAAAGGCAGAGGAGGAGGAAAGAUUGUUUCAGUGCAACUCAGGAGAAUUCCGAUUCAGACGCGGAAAAUAAAUACAAAAAUCGUUCCUCGACAAUAUCAAAUGGCAAUGCAAAACACCCACACCACACAACAACAACACUCCAAACCACACCACACACCUGAGAAAAAAACUUAUCGAACCAAGAUAACAAGAUUGAGUGGAAAACCAAACCACUCCGGGUAGUGGACGAUGACAAAAUGUGAAACACCCAGGUAUGAUUAAAAACACAUUAAAUUACAAUUGUACCCAGCAAUAAUUAAAAUGCAAACUCGAAAAGAACGACACGUUCAUUUAUAUAAAUCUGGAAAGAUAAAAAAAGAUACAGCGAGUAAACAACAAAACAUUGUUGAAUGAAAAAAUGGUAGGAACCACAAACAAAAGAAAAAAGCAAACAAAAAAUACAAACCAACGAGGACAAAAAAACAAAAAAAGAAGAAAAGAGAAUAAAGAGAAAUAAUUACUUAACUCAUGAGCCAACAACGGCUUGAGAAAAUGCCCUGAACCAUAACGAAGAAGCAAUUAAGGAGUUCGCUAGUCCAUUACUCUUAGCAGAUGAAAGUCACGAAGGAGGUGAUAUACAUCAUCAAACUUAAAGCCGAAAAAAAGUGCUCGGCCAAAGAAUCAACCACAUCGGAGCAAGAGUGGAACUAUAAAACACAACAUUCUUGCAGGAAUAAUUAGUCGACAUAUAUAGAGUCCACUAGGAGAAAAAAAAAGAAAUAAAAAAA